ACAGUUUCCUUCUGCCUCCAGAGUUAAUUUUUCCUUUUGGUCUCCUCUUUAUUUCUUGUCUUCCUCCAUUCUCCCUUUUCUUUCCUUUCCGCCCUCCCAAGCUGUCAACAACAGCUCCCCUAGACUCUGCCUAGCACAGAAUUUUGCUGACUUUUGAGAAAUUCAAGAGGCAAACCUGCAGGGCAAAGAAACUCUACAUGGUGAAUUGGUACCUGAACUUCUUUCAUCCGAGGGAAACUGGGCCAUAGGACUUGUCAGUGAAGCUCAGCAUGCUAUAAGAGCAUCUUGGUUUGUCCUAGCUGAGGACUGGAGCAUCUCAAUCUCUAGUCCACAAACUAAUGUUCCUACCCAGGGAAGGGCAGCUUUGGAAGAGGCACAGUGCUCUGCCACAGCCCGCAGGACCGAGCAUCAGCCUGGAAAGAGGGCUGACCCCACACCCGCCCACCCACGCACCCACUCACUCAUUCAUUCAUUCAGUGCUCAAAAUAUCGCCUUGUGCCUUCUAUGUGUCAGGCAAGGCUGAGACCUGACUCCCACUCAUGGCUGCUAGGUGGUGAAACUCAGCUCCUUCGCACCCUAGAAUGGUCAGGAAGAGCCCCAGGCAGCCCCGGCGAGAAGGAGCAGGAUGAAGGAGCUGCUUCUUCAUAAUGACAUUGUCCAAGAAUGACCAUGCUCUUCACCGACGCUCCAUCAGCCCAGCAUUGUGCAGCUGAGUGGAUGUUAUUAUUCCAGCUUGUGAAGGGACAUGGUGAGUGCCGGAGUCAGUGAAUCAUCCAGAGAUGUGAGAGGUGGAGUGGGUGGGCAGUGAAGCCUCCAAGCUAGAGACGUCCUUUGUCCUCACAGGCAUCUUUGGCUGUAGUACUGGGUUUGCAGGUACAUGGAGGUGACACAUGCCACCUCUGAGCCAUAAAGCCUUACGACACUGGGCACUUGCUCCUCUAUCUGCUCCUCUCUCUUCCUGUGGGCUGGGCUGGAUGGGCAGUGGGACCCAGCCUUUAUCAUGCUUGUGAGGCCAACACUGGGGAUGCCAGGACCUGAGAGGGAGAACCCGGGUCCCCAAAGAGUGUGUGAAGUGGAACCUGCUGCCAGUCUAGACUGCUUAGCUCUCCUGUGUGUGAGGCAAACACACUUCUGUCUUAUUUAAGCCACUGACCCCUUGGUCCAGUUACAGCAACUUUGCCUUUGGCUUACUAAUUUAGAGGGGUAAAAGAGCAGCCCUCUUUUCCUUUCCUGAGUUUAGAACCAAUUAAGAGAAGGUGAGUAGACCCCGAGAGAUGCGGAGCAAAAUACUACGUGUGUUACUGGUCAUACUGCGCUGGAAAACGCAGCAUUGAAGCGGUGCCAUGCAGGCUUGCUGACAGCUCUCUGUGGAGUUAGAUAUACCUGCCUAGUCCCUGGUGUACCCGACAGCUGCUGGUACCAGAGGCAUAUGGUGGGACAGAAAUGAUGCCUCCAGGAGAGAGAGAAGAAGUUGAGCCAAGAAGCCUUGUUUUUCCCUCUGAAACUCACCAAUUGGGUAGGUCUUUUCUCCUCUUCUGGGCAGAGUAGGAGAGGCAGGCGGGAUGUGGGGGAGGCUGCCACAGUCGAAGGCCUCUCCCAGAAUGUGAAGAAUGGUAGGUCCCGCUCACAAGGCAAAUGCCCCACAGUGGGCACUGGUCGUGUUGCUACCAAGACCCUGCGCAGGGGUGAGACCACUGAGCAUUCUCUAAUCUUGGGUGCAUCAGCUGGAGGGUUUCAAACAGGGGUCUGGGACGAGUCAUCAUCAAACGGUUUCAUGAAAAUCACCUCCAUUCCUCCAUUUCUGAUGACUUGUCUGUGGACACGCUGGUGUUUGUGGGGCAGACAGAAGGACGUUGGGGUGUGCAGUGGGUGUGCAUGUUUCCGUGGAGGGAUGAGUCGGGAGCAGGUCUUCCCAUUUCUUAGAUCAAUGAGUUUUUGAGACAUGUGAAUCUCCACAUGUUUUGUUUUUCAUUUCAGGAGCCCAGACAUAUUUAAUACUUUUGGUACUGGGGCUAUUGAUAAAGAAGAACAUCUUUCUAGGGCUAAUGAAGAACAAACCCACAGGCCCUGCACUUGUUCAGGCCUCAGCAUCUCUAAACCAGAGACUGUGCAGUGCUGGAACUGGCUUUGCUCUCUCUGCUGUCUACCCUCUGUAACACAGUGGUAGCAGAGUGUCCCUCUAAGACCCAGGUCUGCUGUCAUUCACCUUCUCCAAAACCUCUAAGGGCUUCCCAUGUCCUAAAACAUGCAGUACGAAUCCCUUGUGUGGCAUUAUAAGCCUGCUCUGAUCUGGCCUCAAUGGACAUUUCCAGCAGUAAUUCCUCUUGGCCCACUUUAAGUUUUCCUUCCUCCAUCCCUCCCUCCUUCCCUUCCCUUUUUCCCUCCCUUUCUUCUUUACUUUUGCAUUGGGAAAGGUCUCAGCAUCUUGGAUUAUGUAAUAGUCUCCUAAGGGGUCUCCCUGCUUCUACUUUGACACCCUACUCUCUAUUCUCAGCAACCAGACCAAUCCUGUUUAAAACCCAAGCCA